rnacentral:lncRNA from 1 species
AUUUAUAGACCAUAUGUUAUUUAUUUAUAUAUUUAUUUAUUUCAGUGCAGUCUUUUAGACUGCGUUUGGUUUGAGGGAUAUUCCAGAAUAAGACAAAAUAUCUCUCUUUGUUCUCCCAAACACAAAGCAAAAUAGGACAACCCUCUUGUUCUGGGCUUAACGGGUUAUUCCCGAAUAACCCAUUAAGCCCAGUUCUCCCUUCCAUGGAGAGCAAGCUGGAACAAUAAAUUGUUUCUUUUUUUCUUCUUUUCUCUUUUCUAUUAUGCCCUUUUAUUUUUUUAUACUUUAUUUUAAUUAAUUUCAAAUAAAUUAAAUGAAUGCUCAAAUUUAAUAAAUAAAUAUAUUAAUAUAAAUAUUAUUUUUAUGAUAAUAUAUUUAUACUUAAAUUUUAUUAUAUAAUAUAAAUUAAUUAAAUUUGAUAUAUAUUUUAUUUUAUUAAGUUUUAUCAUUUAUAUAUUAAUAUUUAAUUAUUUUAUUUUAUAUUAAGUAUUAUAUACAUAAAAUCAUUUUAUCAUAUUAUAUAUAUAUAUAU